UGACAACUAAUGAUUUGUUUUUUCACAUGUGAGCUAUAACGACUCUAAAAAUAAAAAAAGAAUAAAAAAUGGACAGGUCUACUAACUCACUCUGGCUCCAACGUUUAGGAUAGGACAGAAAAAAGAAAAAAAAAAGAAGCUCUUCCUCUGAGACCGAAAUCCCUUCGUCUUCUAAACCAUGCAACGCUCCCCAAACCGCUUCCACUCACCGGCGAAACCAACCGCCACUCCUUUCUUCGCCGUCGACCACAGCUGGAACCGUCAACCUACAACAUCUCUGACCGCUUCGUCUUCUUCAUCAUCGCUCCGUUUCCACCGUUGCGCACCCUCUGAAACUACCAUGAACACUCAAAUUCGUUAACCACAACAACUCCUCAAACGUCCGCAAAUCCAGCAGCUCUGGUUCACAUCAGCAUUCAACAAUUCAAGUAGUAUGUGAGGCAAUUGUUUCUACGACAAAAUCAAUGUCAUUCAUCGAGGUUCAAGUGGUAUUUCGAUUUGAUUAUCUUUUUUGUUUAAUUCAGUUUUAACUUGUUGGGUGAAUUAUGUUGAGUUUCAUCUCUCUUCAUUGUUUAAAUAUGUACGCUGCAGUUAUGAUUUUCUAAUGUUUCGACUUCGGUUUUGAAAAUCUUUAUUUCAAUUUUGGGUAAUUGUUUUUGCUGAUAAUCACUUCGUGUGGAUGAUUUGUUUUUACUAAUGUAUAUAGUUUGGUUAUUAAUUACGAUCCCGUUAUGUUGUGCUUGUGUUGGAUUUGGAUGUUGUGACAUGGAUAUCAAUACAAGGUCAAAAUGCGUGAUA
rnacentral:lncRNA from 1 species